rnacentral:rRNA from 1 species
AGCGAACGCUGGCGGCAGGCCUAACACAUGCAAGUCGAACGAACCUUUCGGGGUUAGUGGCGGACGGGUGAGUCACACGUGGGAACGUGCCUUUAGGUUCGGAAUAACUCAGGGAAACUUGUGCUAAUACCGAAUGUGCCCUUCGGGGGAAAGAUUAAUCGCCUUUAGAGCGGCCCGCGUCUGAUUAGCUAGUUGGUUGAGGUAAUGGCUCACCAAGGCGACGAUCAGUAGCUGGUCUGAGAGGAUGAUCAGCCACAUUGGGACGGAGACACGGCCCAAACUCCUACGGGAGGCAGCAGUGGGGAAUCUUGCGCAAUGGGCGAAAGCCUGACGCAGCCAUGCCGCGUGAAUGAUGAAGGUCUUAGGAUUGUAAAAUUCUUUCACCGGGGACGAUAAUGACGGUACCCGGAGAAGAAGCCCCGGCUAACUUCGUG